CCUACGGGAGGCAGCAGUGAGGAAUAUUGGUCAAUGGACGAGAGUCUGAACCAGCCACGUAGCGUGAAGGAUGACUGCCCUAUGGGUUGUAAACUUCUUUUAUAUGGGAAUAAAAUGUUCCACGUGUGGGAUUUUGUAUGUACCAUAUGAAUAAGGAUCGGCUAACUCCGUGCCAGCAGCCGCGGUAAUACGGAGGGUCCGAGCGUUAUCCGGAUUUAUUGGGUUUAAAGGGAGCGUAGGUGGAUUGUUAAGUCAGUUGUGAAAGUUUGCGGCUCAACCGUAAAAUUGCAGUUGAAACUGGCAGUCUUGAGUACAGUAGAGGUGGGCGGAAUUCUUGGUGUAGCGGUGAAAUGCUUAGAUAUCACGAAGAACUCCGAUUGCGAAGGCAGCUCACUGGACUGCAACUGACACUGAGGCUCGAAAGUGUGGGUAGCAAACAGGAUUAGAUACCCCUGUAGUC
rnacentral:rRNA from 1 species